rnacentral:lncRNA from 1 species
UUAUUUAUUGUCUCCCUCCGACCAAGGUCACUGACAAUCCUCAGGUGACCAUUCAAUUUACUCGGAGAAGGUGUAGUCGGUGUACUGGACUAUCCAUACCCUAAGUCAUUUGUAUUUACCCUUUGAAAGUUUGAUCUGAUAUCGUCAGGUCGCAAGGAAGCCCCAAAAGGCAAAAGACAGAAGGAGAGAACGGCGGAGUGAGAUCGAAAUGGCAGAAGGCCCGAGAGCUGUGGGAACUCCUCCGUCAUCGUGGUCAUGGUUUUCGUUUCUUCACAGGUCUUUCGGCUGGUUCCAGCUUGCGGCGAGAAACUUCCUGUCUUUCAUGGGUCUCCGCUCGUUCUGCGACGGUGAUCCGAAGAAGGGCGAGGGAGAUGAGGGAACCAGUGUCAGAAGCACCGCCUCAACGGUACGGACCCUUCCACUCAUGUAAAAAGCUCAGUUCUUAGCUUCCUCACCUGCCGCAUAUUCUUGAUCAUAGGAGAACUCCGCUGUAAGCCCGAUGCUCCUACGGUUCCUGCGGCGUAGGCCAGGGAGGCCGGGCCCUGACCAAGGAAACGGCGGCCAGAAUCACUGAGGCUACUGCAAACUGAUAGCCGCUUCGGCAAAAUCCACCGAUAGAAGGGCGGCACUUCAAAAUCGUUUGGACCUUAUAUUUUUGGCGUGCUGUAAAUGGGUUGAUGAUAUUUCUGUUCCAAUCGUCGCGUAAGACCGAAGUAUGUAAUUUCUUUGUGAAAAUGGAGACGGGACCAUUCUCUGAUCUCUCCGUUUCCGAAUAAACUUAUCCCAAGUCCGCCGGUGCCGUUGACCUUACUGAACUUUCCUGGCGAGGGCGUAAUAUGGAGAGAGCGUCCAGGAGAGGGACUCCCGUAGCUCUUCGACGAGGGAGGGGAUCAGGCGGUCGGUGCUGAACAACAACAGCCGUUGUGGGAGGAGGAAGAAAAUCCAUUUGGCUUCGAAGAAGUAGAGCAGUUUUACGGGUUUCGGACAGGGGCCGUCAAGUG